rnacentral:sRNA from 1 species
GCCCCACAAAGCUAAGCGACCACAGAGAACAAUGAUGCAAAAUCAGUGGGACUUAAUCCUUCUGGCUCUGUGGGGCCUGUCCAUUGUCUCUUCCCUCUUCCUGCCCUUCUCUCUCCUUCCCACUUCCCAGAUGUCAAGGGAUCAGGCAAAAAGGGGACAGCAACAGCCAACUGCAUCAGCCUCCUAGAGCAGGAAAAAAGAGAUAUCACGCCACCUGGGCAAGAUGUAUAGUGAGAUGAUCUUCGUCAAUGGCUUCGUGCACUGCGAUCCCCACCCCGGCAAUGUACUGGUGCGGAAGCACCCCAGCACGGGAAAGGCGGAGAUUGUCCUGUUGGACCAUGGGCUUUACCAGGUGCUCACAGAAGAAUUCCGCCUGAAUUACUGCCACCUCUGGCAGUCUCUGAUCUGGACUGACAUGAAGAGAGUGAAGGAGUACAGCCAGCGCCUGGGAGCCGGGGAUCUCUACCCCUUGUUUGCCUGCAUGCUGACGGCGCGGUCAUGGGACUCGGUCAACAGAGGCAUCAGCCAAGCUCCCGUCACUGCCACUGAGGACUUAGAGAUUCGCAACAACGCAGCCAACUACCUCCCCCAGAUCAGCCAUCUCCUCAACCACGUGCCGCGCCAGAUGCUGCUCAUCUUGAAGACCAACGACCUGCUGCGUGGCAUUGAGGCUGCCCUGGGCACCCGUGCCAGCGCCAGCUCCUUUCUCAACAUGUCACGUUGCUGCAUCAGAGCGCUAGCUGAGCACAAGAAGAAGAAUACCUGUUCAUUCUUUAGAAGGACCCAGAUCUCUUUCAGCGAGGCCUUCAACUUAUGGCAGAUCAACCUCCAUGAGCUCAUCCUGCGUGUGAAGGGGUUGAAGCUGGCCAACCGGGUCUUGGCCCUAAUAUGCUGGCUGUUCCCUGCUCCACUCUGAGUGGAAUUGCUCUCCCUGCCCCAUUCUGGUGUCUUUCCACUCCUCAGCCCCUCGUCUUGCCUCCACCCAGCUGCUCCAUUUUUGCCACAUCGUGGCCCGCAGCCCCAGAGUCACUGUCCAUGUCACCAUC